rnacentral:rRNA from 1 species
GAUGAACGCUAGCUACAGGCUUAACACAUGCAAGUCGAGGGGUAACGAGAGGAAAGCUUGCUUUCCUUGUCGACGACCGGCGCACGGGUGAGUAACGCGUAUCCAACCUGCCCCCAACUAAGGAAUAACCUUGCGAAAGUAAGACUAAUACCUUAUAAUUUUCUCAGAUGUCAUUUGACGUGGAAUAAAGAUUUAUCGGUUUUGGUUGGGUAUGCGUCUGAUUAGCUUGUUGGCGGGGUAACGGCCUACCAAGGCAACGAUCAGUAGGGGUUCUGAGAGGAAGGUCCCCACAUUGGAACUGAGACACGGUCCAAACUCCUACGGGAGGCAGCAGUGAGGAAUAUUGGUCAAUGGGCGGAAGCCUGAACCAGCCAAGUAGCGUGCAGGAUGACGGCCCUAUGGGUUGUAAACUGCUUUUAUACAGGAAUAAAGUUAGCCACGUGUGGUUAUUUGUAGGUACUGUAUGAAUAAGGACCGGCUAAUUCCGUGCCAGCCGCCGCUGUAA